rnacentral:rRNA from 1 species
AUGGGGUCCACAUGUCAGCAUCAACCUCCUCCUUCUUCAUCCUCUCUCUCUAGCAUUUCCUCGAACACCUCUUAUGCACCUGCGAGCCACCUGCACGGCCCUCCAUUGCCGGCGCUCGCGGUCGUGAUCUACACAGAAUUAACUUUACUCCAGUGCAGUGUGUGUCCCAUGGGGAAGGAGCUGCAAGUCAAGGCGCUCCUGGGGCAGCGCCGGGGGAACUUCGCUGCGACCGGGUCCAAGUGUGCGCUGCGGUUCCCCGCCAAGGCUGACAACGCCAUCUGGGCCGACGCCGAGGACGACCUCGACCCUGCCCCCACCAGCACCCUAGCGAGAGACAUGCUCGAGGAGUUCGAGAAGGAGGUAGGGGCGGCAGCAGCAUCCAAAACCUCGCCGGAUCUGGCAGCGACGGCGGGUUCCUCGCCAGGAGAUGGAGGGGCGGGUGCUCUUCGGCCCCGCGGCGCUGGCGGCUGCCUCACCGGGAAGAUGGAGGGGCAGGCGCUCUUCGAAUCCUGCGGCUCCGGCGGCCAGUGGCUGCCUCGCCGGCCGUAUCGAGCGACGGUGCGGGCUCGAGAGCAGAGGUACGUGACAGCAGGUGGACUUCUUUUUUUCUUGAUUGAGAUUGUGGAUUUAGGGGGAAAAAUAAGCAUAUUUGUUAGACUGACAUGCAGGCCCCACCUGUAA